rnacentral:rRNA from 1 species
UCGGCUUAGAGUUUGAUCAUGGCUCACAUUGAACGCUGGCGGCAGGCUUAACACAUGCAAGUCGAACGGUAAAGUAGCUUGCUACUUACGAGUGGCGGACGGGUGAGUAACGUAUGGGGAUUUACCGAAUGGAGGGGGACAACAGUUGGAAACGGCUGCUAAUACCGCAUAACGUCCAGAGACCAAAGGGUUUCGACUUGCCAUUUGAUGAGCCCAUAUGAGAUUAGCUAGUUGGUGUGGUAAUGGCUCACCAAGGCGACGAUCUCUAGCUGGUUUGAGAGGAUGACCAGCCACACUGGGACUGAGACACGGCCCACACUCCUACGGGAGGCAGCAGUGGGGAAUAUUGCACAAUGGGGGGAACCCUGAUGCAGCCAUGCCGCGUGUAUGAAGAAGGCCUUAAGGUUGUAAAGUACUUUCGUGGAGGAGGAAGGGUUUACGUAAUCGUGGACAUUGACGUUA